CCCCGCGUGGCCGGCGCCUGCCUGGAGCCCCGGGGCGGGCGGCCGGCCUGGGGGCCGAGUAUUGUCCUGAAGGCCGAAAAAGGCGGAGAGGGGGCUGCGGCCAGCCACGUGGCGCAGGAGGAUUUAUAACAUUUCCUUUCCCCAACCACAACACCGCAAAAAUGUGUGAAAGAGAGGACUCCGCCAGGACCGGAGCGUGAGGCACGGACGAGCGUUUUUCCCCUACCGGAAAUCUGAUGGGCUUAUGACAUCAUGGCUGGCUGCUGAGCGAUGAAGUAGAUGCCACAAAGAAACCGGACUUAUCAGAUGAAUUCGGAAAUCACUUUCCCUCUGGCUGGAGGAGCAGGCGCGAAGUCAGGAGAAUUCCAGCUUUGUUAAAAAAAAAAAAAAAAAGAAAGCAAAACUAAGUCUUGCCCUUAAAAACAAGCAAACCAUUUGGACAUCAUCCUAUUUUCAUAGAAAUGCUGGGUUUUAUGAAACAAAAGUGGCCAAUAAAUCGGACCUGAAGCUUCCUGUG